CCUACGGGGGGCUGCAGUGGGGAAUAUUGCACAAUGGGCGCAAGCCUGAUGCAGCCAUGCCGCGUGUGUGAAGAAGGCCUUCGGGUUGUAAAGCACUUUCAGCGGGGAGGAAGGCGGUGAGGUUAGUAACCUCAUCGAUUGACGUUACCCGCAGAAGAAGCACCGGCUAACUCCGUGCCAGCAGCCGCGGUAAUACGGAGGGUGCAAGCGUUAAUCGGAAUUACUGGGCGUAAAGCGCACGCAGGCGGUCUGUCAAGUCGGAUGUGAAAUCCCCGGGCUCAACCUGGGAACUGCAUUCGAAACUGGCAGGCUAGAGUCUUGUAGAGGGGGGUAGAAUUCCAGGUGUAGCGGUGAAAUGCGUAGAGAUCUGGAGGAAUACCGGUGGCGAAGGCGGCCCCCUGGACAAAGACUGACGCUCAGGUGCGAAAGCGUGGGGAGCAAACAGGAUUAGAUACCCCUGUAGUC
rnacentral:rRNA from 1 species